rnacentral:rRNA from 1 species
GAUGAACGCUGGCGGCGUGCCUAAUACAUGCAAGUCGAGCGAAUGGAUUGAGAGCUUGCUCUUAUGAAGUUAGCGGCGGACGGGUGAGUAACACGUGGGUAACCUGCCCAUAAGACUGGGAUAACUCCGGGAAACCGGGGCUAAUACCGGAUAACAUUUUGAACCGCAUGGUUCGAAAUUGAAAGGCGGCUUCGGCUGUCACUUAUGGAUGGACCCGCGUCGCAUUAGCUAGUUGGUGAGGUAACGGCUCACCAAGGCAACGAUGCGUAGCCGACCUGAGAGGGUGAUCGGCCACACUGGGACUGAGACACGGCCCAGACUCCUACGGGAGGCAGCAGUAGGGAAUCUUCCGCAAUGGACGAAAGUCUGACGGAGCAACGCCGCGUGAGUGAUGAAGGCUUUCGGGUCGUAAAACUCUGUUGUUAGGGAAGAACAAGUGCUAGUUGAAUAAGUUGGCACCUUGACGGUACCUAACCAGAGAGCCACGGCUAACUACGUGCCAGCAGCCGCGUAA